rnacentral:rRNA from 1 species
AUUAAACGCUGGCGGCAUGCCUUACACAUGCAAGUCGAACGGCAGCACGGGGGCAACCCUGGUGGCGAGUGGCGAACGGGUGAGUAAGGCAUCGGAACGUGCCCUGGAGUGGGGGAUAACGUAGCGAAAGUUACGCUAAUACCGCAUAUUCUGUGAGCAGGAAAGCAGGGGAUCGCAAGACCUUGCGCUCUGGGAGCGGCCGAUGUCGGAUUAGCUAGUUGGUGGGGUAAAGGCCUACCAAGGCGACGAUCCGUAGCGGGUCUGAGAGGAUGAUCCGCCACACUGGGACUGAGACACGGCCCAGACUCCUACGGGAGGCAGCAGUGGGGAAUUUUGGACAAUGGGCGAAAGCCUGAUCCAGCCAUGCCGCGUGAGUGAAGAAGGCC